UACGUAGGGUGCGAGCGUUGUCCGGAAUUAUUGGGCGUAAAGAGCGUGUAGGCGGCCAAGCAGGUCCGCUGUGAAAACUCGAGGCUCAACCUCGAGACGUCGGUGGAAACCGUUUGGCUAGAGUCCGGAAGAGGAGAGUGGAAUUCCCGGUGUAGCGGUGAAAUGCGCAGAUAUCGGGAAGAACACCCGUGGCGAAGGCGGCUCUCUGGGACGGUACUGACGCUGAGACGCGAAAGCGUGGGGAGCGAACAGG
rnacentral:rRNA from 1 species